GCGUCGAUGAAGAACGCAGCGAAAUGCG
rnacentral:rRNA from 1 species